GUUGUAGCUCAGUUGGUUAGAGCACCGGAUUGUGGUUCCGGGGGUCGUGGGUUCGAAUCCCAUCAUC
rnacentral:tRNA from 1 species